rnacentral:rRNA from 1 species
UACGAAGGGGGCUAGCGUUGUUCGGAAUUACUGGGCGUAAAGCGCGCGCAGGCGGUCCUUUAAGUCAGGGGUGAAAGCCCAGAGCUCAACUCUGGAACUGCCUUUGAAACUAGAGGACUUGGGUACGGGAGAGGUGAGUGGAAUUCCGAGUGUAGAGGUGAAAUUCGUAGAUAUUCGGAAGAACACCAGUGGCGAAGGCGGCUCACUGGCCAGUUACCGACGCUCAGGCGCGACAGCGUGGGGAGCAAACAGG